GAAUUAUUAUCUGGUAAAUUUGAUGAUUGCAUUGGAUUAUUAUCAACAGUUGUUUUAUGUUCAAUUGAUGUCUUUUGAAUACUUGAAACAUCCAACAUUUUCAUGCUCUAAAAAUGGAUUAUUUGAUGUUUGAUUACGAUAAUCAUGACCAACUAAAAGUAAUGUUGAUAGUUUUGUACUUGAAGAAUUACCAUCAUCAUUGUCAAUAUUAUCUGAUGCCCAACAUGUUGAAAAAAAAAUCAGGCCAAUCUAGAUGAUGAAAACCAAAGAAAAAAAAAGAAAUAUAAUAUAGGUCAAAAAUCUUUGGAUCAUUAUAAACAUUGGUGGGAGACAAAACGAGGUGACCAAAAUCAUGAUGAUGAGGAUGACGAUGAUGAUACUGGCUGGUUAAGAAAGUAAC